rnacentral:tRNA from 1 species
GCUCCUGUUGUCUAAUGGAUAAAAUGUUGGCUUCUGGAGUCAAAGAUUGUGGAUUCAAAUGUCACCAGGGACG